UGCAAUGCAUGCAAAUUUAGGAUGCAACAGACCAGCAGAGAAGAGGACAGAGGCAAAGUGCCGCAUGAGGCUCUGCUUCAUCCUUCAAAGUAUGUUCCCACAACAAAAUGCCACAUUACACCCACUUCAGCUCCUCCUAUCUGUCCUGGAAGAUACAUUCAUACACUGUUACAAAGGGCCUGUCCAGUAUACUCCCAUGAUCAUGCCAGUUUGCCCAAAUGGGUGGACAACUUUUAAGUCAAUGUGUCAUGCAGGCAGUUAAACACGUUAAAAUUACUUACAUUAAAAGGGAUU